GACAAGAUGGAGGACUGCAGUGGA
rnacentral:piRNA from 1 species